CAGGAGCUCAUAUUACCGUCUCUCUUCUAAGACUUGGGGACCCCCAAUUAAACUCUUAGGUGACAGGUUCAAAAUAAACAGAAGGAAGGGGUUCUUCAGACACAGUGCUGUUAAGUGGUGGAACUCCUUACUGCAGGAUCUGAUGGAUACUACGAGCUUGCAUAGGUUCUAAACGCAAAGAGAUAAAUUCAUGGGGGAAAAAAAAAAAAAAACUUUUGAGGUCUAUUAAGCACAAAGUUCCUCUUGCUUCAAAGUUUCUCAGCUGCAAAUUUUUUAUUCAUUGGGAAAACGUGUUAUGUGCGUGCUAGUCUGGUUCAGGCUGCCCAGGGAGUGGUGGGGUCACCAUCCCUGGAGGUGUUCCAGAACCAUGGAGGUGUGGCACUGAAGGACAUGGGCAGUGAGGAUGGUGGGGAUGGGAUGAGGUUGGACAUGGGCAUCUUGGAGAUCUUUUCCAACCUUAAUGACUGUUAUUCAUAAGCUCAUCCUCAGCCAUUUGCUUUCUUCAGCUAAUGGGGGAAGAGAAUGCAACUAAUGGACCUUUGAGCUGAACCAUCAUGGUUGUACUUAUGUUUUCAUAUCUGUGCACAUUCGUACGUUCAUCAGCAAAAGACAUUUUUUAAAUCUCAUUUUGUGACAUCGCACAGAUUCCUGUGAGAAAAAUAUUCACCAUUGUUUCUCCCAUAUUUAUCGUGCAUCAGAAACCUAAAGAAGAUGACAUCCAGCAAACCAUGGUCUGCGCAUGGAGCAAGACUUCUUUGGUGUGCAUGAAAAGGCUACUUCAAGGCCAAGGAGCUGCAGAGCACAGAAGAGGCUGUGUGCAGUGGCUCACCCAGGGGCACGCGAGCGAUGCCGUUGUUCCUCCUGCAGCCUAGAACAGCACAGAAAUACCAACGUUGUCCCUCUUUCUCACUCUUUCCAGUGAUGCACAGCGCAGUUCCUCCUGGAGAUGGGCAAGGUAACCUUGCCUUCCAGAACCAGAACUUUCUCUCUUUGGGACACCAGCAUCUUGUUUGACCACCCAGGAGAUGCAAAGACUGUAAGCUCACAAUGUGAGAGAAUGAGAGGGAGUAUUGCCAUCAUGAGUGGCAGUAGGAGCUUGGAGAACAGAAGCGAAGUCAGAAUGUGCAGUAAACCAACCUUUAUUUUAACCUGUUCCUGAUCUCAGCAUCACCUCAAGGUGAGUUCUGUGGAUUGCCCAUAAAGCAGGGCCUUGACCUAAGAAGAGCCCUGCUGAGGAAGUGGACACUGGAAGCUCAAGGGGAAGGUAAUGGAAAACAAAGGCUGAAUCCCUUUCUGUCCAUUGGCAGAGCCAGCAUGGCUAACAGGCAGAGAAAGAACCUGUGGGUCUUUAGGACUUGCUGGGAGGGAUUCAGAUUUGCUUAAUAAUACCCAGAUAUUCCCCCAAAAACAACAACAACAAAUUGAAAAACUAAAGAUUCAG
rnacentral:lncRNA from 1 species